UCGUUAGAACAAAGCUGAUCCAUUUACAUCUGGCGGAGGCUGGCGGGGGAUCCGGCUUGUGACUUUUUUUAUUUUUUAGUACUUUGGACUGAAAUUUGGCGUGGGGAAAGCGUUUUCACACUUUUGAUUUUGAGAGAGAGAGAGAGAGAGGGAGAGAGGGAGGGAGAGAGAUGGGCGCGACUGUGAAGAACGCAGAGAAGUUGGUGAUGUCUGCCAUGAAAGGGAAUGACGCCUCUCACGAUGCUGCACACGUUUUCAGAGUCAGGGAUCUCGCCCUCUCUUUGGCCCAUGAAGAGGGCUUGUCUUCUUCCCCAGAAGCCAUGGAAGUGGUAGAGCUUGCCGCACUUCUCCAUGAUAUAGGAGAUUACAAGUAUGUGAGAAAUCCAUCUGAGGAGGCAAUCGUUGAGAAAUUUAUUGAGCAGGAGGGUGUAGAUGAGAAGAAAAAGGAGAAGAUACUAAUGAUAAUAAAAAGAAUGGGUGUCAAGGAUGAGCUUGGAGGCCAUGGAAUUGACGAAUAUUUUCCUGAGCUUGGGGUUGUGCAAGAUGCUGAUCGGCUUGAUGCAAUUGGUGCUAUUGGAAUUGCUCGCUGUUUCACAUUUGGUGGAAGUAGGAACAGAGUUCUUCAUGAUCCUGCUGUCAAACCCAGAUUGGAUUUAUCGAAGGACCAGUAUAUGAAGAAAGAGGAUCAGACAACAAUAAAUCAUUUCCAUGAAAAGCUUCUCAAACUGAAGGGUUUAAUGAAAACAGAGGCUGGAAAGAGAAGAGCUGAGAAGAGGCACAUGUUCAUGGAAGAAUUCGUAAAAGAAUUCUAUGAAGAAUGGGAUGGUAGAGCUUGAAUGAGAGAGAAACGAUAUCAGAAAGAAGAUUAAAGAAUCAUAGAACAGAACAGAUGCGGAGGAGCAAGAAACAAUCGGAGGGUGGAUUUAUAAGAGGUGUUCAAGUCGAUCCCAUUUAGGGAGGAGGGGAGAAGAAAUGAAACAAAAAUGGGUGGUAUUCUUAUGGACUAGGCAGCAGCUCUUCAAGCACCUGUUAUUUUAUCUAGUUAACCCUUUACUUCACAAUCCUCGAUGAAGGAUGGGUUGCAGAAUUCGUUCCUGCUGGCUGCUGCCCACAAGAAGUCCCUAAAUUAACCUUUUAGGAGAUGCAUGUUUUAAUUUUUGUAUGGAGUUCAUUAUAAGACUUUGUACGGACCACAUCACAUCCUUUGUUACAGAAUUAGCUAACUGUCUUUGUUUGAAUAAUGAAGAAACCAUGUGCUUCAAUCUUCUAGC